AGCUUGUUAGUUUAUAUAAAAUAUUUAUUUGUGAUAUAAAAGAAUAAAAGCUAU
rnacentral:tRNA from 1 species